ACAAUACGAGGCAAGGCAGAGGGCAGGGACGUCCUUCGAAGGUGCGCUGGAGGGUCGCCUGCUGCAGCCGCACCCGCCGCGCGUGCCCCACGUUUCUUUGAACGGAAUGAAACGCAGAGAAACAUAAGAUCCCGGGAGAACGCGAGGGAGACGAGUGACCCCAACCCAGUCGCGGGGUGCCGGGCAGUUAGGCCAGGGUGCCAGAUAAGGUCUGAGGCAGUUGGCGGCGGCACCCCGGCCGUUGCUUGCCACCCGCAGCCCCCAGCCCUGCACCAGCCGCCGAUCCCCGAGCGCUCAGAUAAGAGGGCGGCGGCGCCGGAGCCACCGACAGGCCCUCAGCAGUGACCCCGGGUCCCCACAUGGCCCGCGCAGACCUCGGCUAACGUCCGGGACGGGAGGCUGGGGAGUCCGUCCGCCCUCGCGUCCGUCGGCCCCUCCCCGGCGCUCCGCUCGGGUCCCGCGCGCGCCGCCUCCCGCGCCUCAGCUACCUGCGGCCGGAGCAGUCCUCACUUGGCCACGCUUGGGCGGGAGGAGGAGCCCGCGGCGCGCGGAGGCUGCGGGAGGCGGCUGCUACUGGCGGCCCAAGCAGCUUCCCGAGCUUCUGACCUUAACCUCUCGCGCCCAACCGCCCGGGCCGGGUGCAAGGCUUCCGGAGCCUCCCUAAAUGUCAGAGGCAGCCCGCGCGGGGCUGCCAUGGGCAUCUUGGCCCCGGCCGGCGCGUUUUUCCUCCCCCGCCUUGUCGCUCUCUGGGACUGGAAGGGUUAACGCUCUGCUCUCAGCCCGGGAGCCCCUUGAUCUUGAUUAAUUCAGCCUUCGCGCUUAGGCCCGCCAGACGGGCGGGGGCUCUCGCUCGCGUAGGUGUCUCCGUUUUAAGUGAUUGGAUUUCCCCAGGAAUGUUAUUUAAAUUGACUUGCGACUGGGAUUCGCUUACCAUCUUUCUUGUGAUCUUCCGAUUAAAAAUAGAUGAUGGCCAUUAAUGGCUAGUGCAGUACCCACUGCUGUCCCAGAGUUUGGGGGUGGGGGGUGGAGACCGGCGGAUAUUUCUGCUUGCAGGCAGGUCCAGGGAGCUAGGAACCCGGGAUUCCCAGGAAACCUCCAGAACAGGUAGAGAAUUUCUCGUAGAGGGACAGGUCAGGGUACCACAGAGGUAGCCCCAGAGGGACAGGGAAGCGCUCCGUCAAGGUGACCUUAGUUGAUUAAGGAGAAGUGAGGGGACGCAUAUUUUCCCAGUGGCUCAUCCGACAAGCCCCCACUGAGUCCGAAGCACAGAGCAAAGAUUUGGGUUGCCGGGCUGAAAGGAGACCCCUCCUUGAGCAUAAAUAACACAUCCGUGAAAUGCCUAAGGAGGUUACAAGUGAUUGGCAACGUUCUUGAGCGUUGAUUUGCGCCUAAAGGGUCUUUUUCAAGAUUAUUCUUGUUCGCAAAGUUUGACUUUAAAGGAAUUCUGCGCUCCCAGUUAACAUGGAACAGGGUUUACCUUGCCUUGGUUGUCACCAUUCUCUGGGGAAGCCCGGUAGGGCACACAGCACACGUAAGGGGCGACAGUUACAGCGGUCCCUGACUGGCAGGCACAUCUACAUGGUGUAGUUAAGCUCUGCCCCCGUGGUGGAUAGAGCCAUACCACGGGGAAGCCAAGAGCUUGCCACUUUUAUUAAGGCAGACUGCAGUAGACAAUCAUUCCCUCACCCCUUAAACACGAGGACCCCUUGAAGAGAAACCAAAGGGAAAAUUCCAUAGUCACAGAGAGAAAAACAGUAAAAGCAAAGGAACAAUAUGCAGACAAGAUUCAGCCGAGGAUCAGAUAAAAGCAAAGAUUUCUCCCUGAGUAAGUCAUCGUAUGUCUCCGUAACAAAGUGAUGAUGGAACAAGAAGGUUGGCAAUGGUGGUUUGAUUGAGACAGGUCAUUGCUCAGCCUGAAUGAAACAUUUUAAACAUAUCUGUUGCUGUGAACACCUUACUUUGCCUCACACUCUAAAAUGAUCCUUUCUACUCACAGAGAAGCUUCUAAGUGUUACGGAGACAAGAUAUGGUAUGUAACGCUUACUUGAGCACAGGUCCCUUUUUUCUCAGGUUCUUCAAAGGCACAUUUGUUAUGAUCUCUUUAUAGGGAGGCAUAUUACCUAUUUUGCAAAGCCUGAUUGACAAUGGAUUUCAAAUUGUAGUAAAAUCAUAGGAUGAAAAUGAUUCAUUUUAAUACAGUGAAUUUUUUUUUUUUUUUUUUUUUUUUUUUUAGAGUCUCACUCUGUCACUUGGGCUUGAGUGCAGUGGCACAGUCUUGGCUCACUGCAACCUCUGCCUCCUGGGUUCAAGUGGUUCUCCUGCCUCAGCCUCCUGAGUAGCUGGGAUUACAGGCGUGCACCACUACACCCAGCUAAUUUUUGUAUUUUUAGUAGAGAUGGGGUUGCGCCAUGUUGGCUGGGCUGGUUUUUGAACCACUGACCUCAAGUGAUCCAUUCGCCUCGGCCUCCUAAAGUGCUAGGAUUACAGGCGUGAGCCACCACACCUGGCCAGAAAAUUGUAUUCUUUCAUUCACCCAUUCUUUUGCUAAAUUUACAUUGAACAUUUUCUAUGUUUAGGGAACUCAGCUAGAUGCUCAUUGUAACAGAAAAAUACUGACUCCUCCCCAGCAUGGAGUAAACCCAGGUCUGCACUCCCAGCUUCAGCUAAAUGGAGUAAGAGGUUGCACAGAAGGCAACAAACGGCAGUUUCCUCUUCUAUCAUGACUUGUUCUUUCUCUCCCAAAGGAAAAAUAAAAUUAGUGAAUUUCAAACAAUUUCAGGAAUGAAGGCAGUUCAUAGCUUGAGAUAGGCUUUGAAUAUGAAAUAGAAAAAAUAUAAACCCUCUUUGGGUUUUGAUUAUCUGAGUUUUUGGGAUUUCUUCCAGUAGUAGCAGGAGCAGUGGCAAAAGUAAAGGGGGUUAUAUGGCUGAUGACACAUAAGAGAAAGUCCCCUGCUCAUUGCUAUUUUGAAAUUAUUAAGCAGCAUUUAAAUGGUUUCAUUUCUAUCUACCUUUAAAUAGUUAGAAUUUGCAGAAUAUUAGGUAGGACACAGUAGAAGAACAACAUAGAUUGUAUAUAGUAUCAUCCAUUCAAGACCCUCUACAGAAAUUGGCACCUCUUUAUUUCUUCUCUGAUCUCUCAGUUUCACUUAAUUCAUCUCUAUUUGCAAUGUAAUUUACUGUGUACAGUAUUUCAAAGGAACGAAUAGAAACCUUAUAGCUUUAAAAGCCCCAGAAAAGACACAAUUUUCAUUACUCAGCAUCCUUAUUCUUUUCUUCAGAUUCAACACACAAAUAAAUGGGGUAGAUUGAGCUGCCAGAAAAUCAAAUUCAAGCCACUUAGAGAGGAAGAUGGAAUUUAAUGAUAUGUUUCAUAGAAUGACCACAGUGCAAAAAUUAAAACCUUAUUUUGUUAAAAAAAAAAUUGCACCAAAUGUGUUAAGUGAGAACAAGAGAGAGUGAGAGAAAAAAAACCAACACGUGGGGGGAGGGGACUCACCUUUUUCCAAAAAGCAUAGUCUUAAUGAUAAAGAUUAAGAACUUAAACUUCUUCACCAUACUGUAGAGCUUGAAUGAUAGUUUUUGAACAUUUUCUCUUCCUGAUUUAUUUGCAUUCACACCAUAUGAAUGCAAAUUAGCCAUACUUUUCAACUUUCUGGAACAGAAGAAAGUAAACAGAACACAGCAAAACUGGCUAUUUUACCUGUGUCUCUGGGAGCUGUGUUGAUAGCUUCAGAAAGACUUAGUGGCUCCAUCAUACAACCUUCUGUUCUAUCACAUGACACAGGCCCAGAAGGAAGUUUUUCUCUGAUGUCUGCUGACUGUUGCUUGUGCCUUCAAGCCUGAGAAGUGAUGGCUCUGCCCUUUUCAUGUCCCUCCUUCAAAACAUCUAGGCAUGGGUAGUUGGGACCUUGUAAACUGUCUAGUCCUUAAGGACCCCUUAUUCAGGAUGUGCAACACCUGAAUACUACCUUACUACUAAAUUAUUAUAAUUGAUUUCUUAACCUCCUCAUUGUAUGAUUUCCCUCCACUUGCACAUGUCUUCCCUGAGCAACAGUAAAUUAAGAGGCUUAUUGUAAAUAGCAUAUAUUUGCAUGAAUAUACCUCCCUAGAAAUGAUGUAAGAUCUGAGAUAAUCUGCUUUGGAGUUCUUUUCAGAUCAUAUUUCUUUCAUCACUCAUUCAAUAAAUAUUUAAUGAGGUCCCACUUUGAGCUUGGCAUUCUGCUCCACUCUGAGGAUACUAUGAAAUCAAACGGUUCUUUGUCCUCAGGGAUCUUAUUAGGGGAGGGGGAAAAGAACAAUAGUCAAACAGUCAAAAUAAUGAACUGAUCAUUCCAAUGAUCAAUGCAUACCUGGAGGAGUGCAGGAUGCUCUGAGUUUUUGCACUGGACAUGAUCUGGAUUGGGUUAGGGCAGUGGCAUUGGGUGGAAAAACGUCCCUAAGAAAGACCUCCUUAAAAAGGACAACAAGGGGAAGCAAAAAAGGGGUCCUCUGGGCAGAGGAAUCAUCAUGGACACGAGUCUCCGAGGUAGAAAGACACUUCAUGUGUCAUCUCUUAUGACUGAGGCAAAACUUGUAUAAUUCCUAUCCCAACAAUUUUGACUCUGCUGCUAGAUUAGCUUUAUGUAGAGUCAAGCCACCUCUGCUGCCAUCCAACUUUAAAACCAAACCUCAUUCUCUGCAGUGGUCUAACAGGCUGUGUGGUUGUACUUAUCUUUGUAUUUGGUCCUGCCCGGUUUCCCCUUGGAGACCAGGAAAGUUCUAGUGACAUUUCCUGUUAUUUCCACCUCCACACCCCAGACUCGGAGUGGAGUUCAGAUUUCCCCUUUCAACUUUAUGAGUUGGUUGACAAAAGGCUUCUGCAAGCCAAAUGCUUGAAGAAGGGGAAAAGUCCAAGUGGAAUGCUUUGUAUCUUUUGUCCAAAUUAGGAGCAGAAGGAAAUAGAAAGCUUUUUCUCAAGCUUGAAGUUAGAAACAAAAGGUUGAGUAAUUCCAGGCCCUUAUAAAAAUAAUAUCUAUGUUUAUAUUUGGCCUUUUAGCUUUUCAGAGAACUUCCACAUGCAUUGAUUUUUUUUUCCUCCUUACUACAUUUCUGUGAGGUGGGUUGAAGUUAUUAUUAUCCCUUUUCACCAAUGAAGAUAGGCUAAAACAGCGAAAUCAAAGGGCAAAUUAGUGGUGGUGCUAACACUGGAAUCCAAGGCUUAUAACUCCAAAUCUAGUUAAAAACAGUGGUUUGGCAUCUCACUCCCUUAUUGAUUUGAGCUGGACAGGCCAAAGGGAUCGCUGUGGCGGGAGUCACCUGAUUUCCCUUAGACAACUCCUGAUGCAUCAUGAGGCCAAUUCUAAGGAAAAUAGCUGGGAGUUAACCUGGACUGUAUUCUGGACCACAAAUACAAGAUUCUUCUGAGGAAAUAAAACUUUUAUUUCUGCCAUUUUGUGGCCACUUUUGUAAACCAUUAAUAAUGGUCUAGAUGAGGCCAGCUAUUUUUGUAUGCAUUUCUGGAAACAAAAAAUAAAUUUCCCUCCUUCAUUACAUUUGAUCUUUACCCAUGAACUAAGUUAUCUAAUGCUCAUCAAUAUAAAAUAAGAAAUGCUUGGCAAAAUAAGGACACAUUGGGUUCUAAAACACAAAUAAAUGCAGUAUUAUUUAUCAAUAAUUUAAACUUCUAUAUUUAAAUUCUUGCUUUAUUACAAUUAUCAGUUAAUUUCUUGUGGCAACCUUGUAGAAGAGAUUGAUACCUUUCACAUUAUUGCUGAUGAUGUAAAAACUAAACCAUAAAUGUUAUGAGAAAUAUUUAGUGAGGCCAUGAAGAUCUGAAAUUAGAAUUCCAGUUAUGUCAGCUGAAUGAAUUUCUUUCUCACUCAUGUUUUUUAAAAAUGGUCAGAUUGUUCAAGUUAGAAUAUACCUGUUAGUACGCUGUUGUACCAGCCAAACACUUGCAUCGGCAGAAAAAUCACAUAGCAUGAAAUUAUUUCAUAAGAUGAAAUAAUUUUUUAAGGUGAAGCAUUUUAUGCUCCAUUAUUUUAAUCUGAAACUAGUAAUGUACUCUUUGUCUCCCUUUCAUUACAAGGAAAAAUUGCUUGUCAAUAGCUCCUUCUGAAUAUUUUCUGUAAACCUGGAUGGAGCGGGAGAUGACUGUUCCUGCUCACCAGGCCAGACUUUAUACUUAUAGGGCAACAGGCUAAUGGCAUUGACUCUGAGCUUGCCGUUAGUCCCUGGGCAGCAGGGCUGUGGUCCAUCUACCCAGCAUCCUGCUUCUAACAUUAAAUGAAAUGGGAUAACCGUCUUCCAAGACACCUGCCUUAAAACUUUUGAAUAUACCCUAAAUAUCUAAAUUCUGCUUAACAAUUUUCAUUGUAGAUUUAUCCAACUAUGAAUUUCAAAGGGUCCUUUGGGGUAUAAUCCUAGUCUUUACUUUCACCUUUCUUUCCUACUCUCUUCCUUUGUGCACCCUUUGCUUCAAUAAAUGACUACCUGAUAUGGCUGUUUAAGAUGCCUGCUUUAGAGAUGUUCUCCCUUCCCUUUCACUGUGCCCUCCACCAGGAAUUAUCUUUUCCCAUCUCUGUUGGUCAAAACUAUGCAAAAUACAGCUCCAAUGACAGCUCCUCUCCAAAAUCUACCAUCUACUGUUUGUGGCAAUUCUCAUUUUUAAAAUUUUAUUUUAAUAGCGACGUGGUCUCACUACAUUGCCCAGGAGGGUCUCAAACUCCUGAGCUCAAGUGAUCCUCCCACCUUGGCCUCCCAAAGUGCUGAGAUUACAGGCAUGAGCCACCAUGCCUGGCUGCAAAUCUCAUUUACUACCUCAUAUUUCAGGUAGUUAUGUACACAUCUUGGCCUUAGGACUUUUAGAAAUAAGCUUAUGGUGGUAGGCUUUGUGUAUGUGUCUCUGCAGCACGGUGGCUUUCCGUCUCUUUGAAUACUAGACUUUGGGAGGCUCUCUUGAAGGGUUCACCUGGACCUAUGUUGCCUUCCACCCACUGCUAUGUUGUUGUUUGGAUGCAAUGCCUCACUGUCUGCCUGUGUUCCAUCAGAAAUUCAUAAAACAAUGCUCUCAAAUGUUUCUGUAAGCACGUUUCCCUAGCCCCUACUUGCUGUUAGAACGUUCUUCUUACCUCCCGCAGCAAGAUUUAUCUCACUGAACUCAAGUCACAAGACGUGCAACCUUCACCAUUCUGUCUAACAGGCAUCACUUACAUGUAUGGGACUCAGCAGGGACAAAAUGAAUGCAGCACACCUGUGAAGAGCUUACAGGAUUCCAGAAUGCCAUUGCCAUAUCAUCCAGGAGCCUCUACCAACUUAUACAUAAUAGGUGCUGAAUACAUUUUUGUAGAAUUAAUUUACCUAAGUUUAUGAAUCUAUUUAUGUUUUCAAUAUAUACUCCUCUUUUGAGUAACAAUUCCAUGGUUUUGCUGCUUGCUGGAUGAAUCAUUUUACUUAUGUAUUCUUUCAAGCAUAAAGAGGAUUUUCCCCUUGUUAUAGUGACUUGGGCUUUAGAGAAAUGGACUGUAUUUACUAUGGGAUUUGCCUUCUGAGGUCCGUAUGCUCCAGCUACUUGAAGAGAGAAUGUCUACCUUUUUUUUUUUUUUUGACAGCGUCUCACUCUGUUGCUCAGGCUGGAAUGCAAUGGUGUGAUCUCUGCUCACUGCAUCCUCUACCUCCUGGGCUCAGGCGACCCUCCCACCUCAGCCUGCUGAGUAGCUAGGACUAUAGGCAUGUGCCACCACAUCCUGCUAAUUUUUUCUUUUUUAUUUUUGGUAAAGACAGGGUUUCACCAUGUUGCCCAGCUGGUCUGUUCCUGAGCUCAAGCAAUCUGCCCACUUUGGCCUCCCAAAUUGCUGGGAUUAUAGGAGUGAGCCAUUGCUCCUGGCCAGAAUUUCCACUUUUGUAGUGUUAGUGUGUGAGCCAGUCUUGCGUGUUUUUGCUUUUGGAUUUCGUUCUCAACCUUUUACAGCUCUGCCCUGUAUCACAGGAGAGCUGAUCCCUGGAGGGUGCAUUUCCCUGUUGGUGAAAUUCUGGCAGAGUUCAGUCAGUGGGAGAUUUGAAGGAAGAUAAAGGGUGAAGCCAGGGUGGGGACACUGGCAGCUCCUCCGCGGCUCCUAUUGAGGCCUGCUGUGGCUCCAGCUGCUGUCAGUCAAUUCCCCUGCCUCCCCAGGCUCCCAUAAGACCACCUCCUCCUUCCUACUAUUACCAGUCUCCAGGCUGUCUCACCAUUUUCUGGGAGAUUCUUAGCACUUCCUGCAUAAACAGUUUCUUGUAUGAAAUUUCUCUCUGUUUAAAAAUUCAGAAUGGGUCGUUUUCCUGGUUGGACCCUUGAUUGAUGCAGUUUGCCUGAACCAUUUUCACCAGCACUAGGAUGCAAAGAUAACGAAUUAUGUGAUUCCACUGAUCCUACCGAUUGAGCAGAGUAGUGUUAAUCCCCUCUAAAGCUUAAGACUGGUCCCAUUUCUCCCAACCAUGGAUGUGGAAAGGUGACCCUAACUGCUGGUGACAGUAAAUGGUGUUAGUGCCAGCCGUGUGAUCUUGGACAAUUAAUCACUGGAUCUGCAUUUUCUUGUCUAUGAAAUAAAGGGUAUAAUAAUACCUACCUUCCAUUGUGAAGAUUAAAUGAAUGAAUACAUACAAAGUGCUUAGAACUUUGGCAUAUAGUGAGCUCUGUGUAAGUGUUACCUAUAAUUGUUAGUUAAUCACAAAGAGUGCAUUAUCUUUUCUUGCCUGCUAGUUUGAUUCUGAAAAUGGUGAAGUAAAAGCUAAUUUUCUUAGGGUUAUCAUGACUUAAUUAGAUUUGUAACUUGUCUUUGUGAGUCAGCCAAAGACAAAUGAAACUUAUUAACUUCGUAAAAUUUGAUAUUUGGCUCUCAGCUUUAUCACUGGCAAUAUUCUAAGAGUUAACCACAUGAAGUUAUUAUUGCAUUUGUGAAAAAUAGUGGGAGGCAUCAUGUCUCCUAUGAAAUUCUCCCUUUUGAAUGAUUUCUUUUAGAAAUUCAGCCCAAAAAAGCCAUGUUUUCUUUAGAGACAUGUUAAAGCUUUCUUCUUUUUCAUCACAGUAAUUUGGUAAAUGGUCUUGAAUCCCUUUUUGCUUUCAUUGCCAGGGAGCUCAGAACUAAAUUUAAAGUUUUUUUUAAUAUCUGUGCUGGCCCCUCCUUUUUUUUUUUACAUUUAUGUUUGUACUGCCAUAUGGCCUUAGUUUUCUAAUUCAAAAUUUAUUUUCUGUUUGAUUCCCUCUUUAGAUUUUGCCAUUUAUAUUCAUAUUGUAAGUUAUGGCACAAUUCUUUGUGGAAUAAGAUGUAGUAGAAAUAAAUGACACUAAAUUCGUAGAGUUUUUAGAGUGUGUUAUGAGUUUUCCAUCAAUAUGUUAUUCUGUGUCACCAAAUUCAUUUUGGAAUAUACAGUCAUUUCCUGCAUAAUGAUUUUCAGAGAGCUAGGGACUGCAUAUAUGAUGGUGGUCCCAUAAGAUUAUAAUACAAUAUUUUUACUGUAUCUUUUCUGUAUUUAGAUAGCUACAAAUUUUCAAAUUUAGGUACUCUACAAAUAGCAUUGUCUACAGUAUUCAGUACAAUAACAUACUGAAUAGGUUUGUAGCCUAGGAGCAAUAAACUAUAGCAUAUAGACUAGAUGUGUUGUAAGCGAUACUACCUAGAUUUGUGUAAGUACACUCUAUGAUGUUUGCACGAUGAUGAAAUCACCUAAAGAUACAUUUCUCAGAACUUUUCCCUGUUGUUAAGCAAUGCAUGGUUGUAAUCUCAAUGUAAAAAGUAACUUUCUUAGAUAGCUAUAUUUUUUCAUCAUGGUAUGUAUUGGGAAGUCCAUGUGGUUUGGUCGCAUGCCUCAGUCAUUUUUAUUUCAGAAUAAAUUAUAUUCUGAAAUAAUAUAGUUGUUAUUGUUAUUCGGGAAAGCGGUUUUGUGGUCAGGCAAGUUUGGGAAAUACCCAGUGAGCUUCAUUGCUUCAAGAUUUUUCAGGGCUGGGAGCCGUGGCUCAUGCCUUUAAUCCCAGCACUUUGGGAAGCCAAGGAGGGUGGAUCACUUGAGGUCAGGAGUUCAAGACUAGCCUGGCCAACAUGGCGAAACUCUGUCUCUACUAAAAAUACAAAAAUUAGCUGGGCAUGGAGGCACGUGCCUGUAGUCCCAGCUACUCGUGAGGUUGAGGCAGGAGAAUUGCUUGAACCAGGGAGGCAGAGGUUGCAGUGAGCCGAGAUCACACCACUGCACUCCAGCCUGGGCAACAGAGAGAGACUCCAUCUCAAAAAAAAAAAGAAAUUUUCGGAGCCUUUAAUUUGUUCAGGUAAACAGUUGGCCCUACAUAUUCCUGAGUUCUGCAUCUGCUGAUUCAACUGACUGCUGAUAAAAAAAUAUUUGGGAAAAAAACCCCAAACCCAAACCAAUUAAAAACAGAUACAAAAAUAAGAAAAUAUGAAUGUUAAAAGACUAUUUAUGUGGCAUUUACAUUAUAUUAGGUAUUAUAAGUAAUCUAGAGAUGAUUUCAAGUAUGCAGGAGGAUGUGCAUAGGUUAAAUGCAAACACUAUGCCAUUUUAUAUAAAGGACUUGAGCAUUGGCAAAUUUUGGUAUCUAUGUGGGUCCUAGAACCAAUCUCCCUGUGGAUAUUGCAGAAUAACUAUUGUGAUUCUCUAAAGAAAGAAAUAUAAGGUAGCAGUUUUCCAACUUUCUAUGACCAAGGCACUCCCCUCAAAUUCCCGCAAUUUUUUCCUCUCCAAUAUUUUUUUCUUAACUGAAACUCCAGUUAAUAUUUUAAGGAACUAGGGUUCUCCAGUAUAGGCUAAUUUCCCAUAGACUAGGUUUUGCCUACAUUGGCAAGUGCCACUUUUUCAGUAAGUCCGUAAGAAAAAUCUGAAAGAGCUGUUCACCAUUAAAGCAUUCCUUAGAAUCAGAAAUCUUGAAGAUGCCUUAAUAUUGAAAAAAAAAUCUUAUUGUAAUAAUAAAUGAAGAUUAUUUGGAAAUAAAUAAACAUUUUUAGUGCUGGACCUUCACUGUUUUUGCUUUAAGUCUACUAGUCUGGGCAGAAAUAUAAAAUCAAUGGCCAUGUUACUAAU
rnacentral:lncRNA from 1 species